AACGUAGGAGACAAACGUUAUCCGGAGUUACUGGGCGUAAAGGGCGUGUAGGUGGUUGCGUAAGUCUGGCGUGAAAUUUUUCGGCUUAACCGGGAAAGGUCGUCGGAUACUGCGUAACUAGAGGACGGUAGAGGCGUGUGGAAUUCCGGGUGUAGUGGUGAAAUGCGUAGAGAUCCGGAGGAACACCAGUGGCGAAGGCGACACGCUGGGCCGUACCUGACACUGAACCGCGACAGCAUGGGGAGCAAACAGGG
rnacentral:rRNA from 1 species